GCAUUGUGUCUCCGGUGAAAGCCGGAUAGGGUAGCAAUACCCGCUUUGCACAGGUGCUGCAUGGCGGUCGUCAGCUCGUGUCGUGAGAUGUUGGGUUAAGUCCCGCAACGAGCGCAACCCCUGUGAUUUGUUGCCACCGGCGUAUGCCGAGCACUUGAAUCAGACUGCCUCGAUCAACGAGGAGGAAGGUGGGGAUGACGUCAAGUCCGUAUGGCCCUUACGACCAGGGCUGCACACGUACUACAAUGCCCAGUACAAUGUGAACCGAGACCGCGAGGUGGAGGAAAUCAAUAAAACUGGGUUCAGUUCAGAUUGGAGUUUGCAACUUGACUCCAUGAAGCU
rnacentral:rRNA from 1 species